CCCUACGGGGCGCACCAGGCGCGAAACCUCUGCAAUAGGCGAAAGCUUGACAGGGGUUACUCUGAGUGAUUUCCGCUAAGGAGAUCUUUUGACAACCUCUAAAAAUGGUGCAGAAUAAGGGGUGGGCAAGUCUGGCUGUCAGCCGCCGCGGUAA
rnacentral:rRNA from 1 species